AUACGGAGGGGGCUAGCGUUGUUCGGAAUUACUGGGCGUAAAGCGCGCGUAGGCGGGCUGGUCAGUUGGGGGUGAAAUCCCGAGGCUUAACCUCGGAACUGCCCUCAAUACUGCCAGUCUUGAGUUCGAGAGAGGUGAGUGGAAUUCCUAGUGUAGAGGUGAAAUUCGUAGAUAUUAGGAAGAACACCAGUGGCGAAGGCGGCUCACUGGCUCGAUACUGACGCCGAGGCGCGAAAGCGUGGGGAGCAAACAGGAUUAGAAACCCCGGUAGUCC
rnacentral:rRNA from 1 species